rnacentral:rRNA from 1 species
GGACGACGGCCUUCGGGUUGUAAACCUCUUUUAGCAGGGAAGAAGCGAAAGUGACGGUACCUGCAGAAAAAGCGCCGGCUAACUACGUGCCAGCAGCCGCGGUAAUACGUAGGGCGCAAGCGUUAUCCGGAAUUAUUGGGCGUAAAGAGCUCGUAGGCGGUUUGUCGCGUCUGCUGUGAAAUCCGGAGGCUCAACCUCCGGCCUGCAGUGGGUACGGGCAGACUAGAGUGCGGUAGGGGAGAUUGGAAUUCCUGGUGUAGCGGUGGAAUGCGCAGAUAUCAGGAGGAACACCGAUGGCGAAGGCAGAUCUCUGGGCCGUAACUGACGCUGAGGAGCGAAAGGGUGGGGAGCAAACAGGCUUAGAUACCCUGGUAGUCCACCCCGUAAACGUUGGGAACUAGUUGUGGGGUCCAUUCCACGGAUUCCGUGACGCAGCUAACGCAUUAAGUU